GUCCAAACGUUAUUCGGAAUCACUGGGCGUACAGAGUUCGUAGGCGGUCCCAUAAGUUAGGUGUGAAAUCCCUCGGCUCAACCGAGGAACUGCGCUUAAAACUGUGGGACUCGAGGGAGAUAGAGGAAAGCGGAACUGAUGGUGGAGCGGUGAAAUGCGUUGAUAUCAUCAGGAACACCGGUGGCGAAGGCGGCUUUCUGGGUCUUACCUGACGCUGAGGAACGAAAGCCAGGGGAGCGAACGGG
rnacentral:rRNA from 1 species